rnacentral:rRNA from 1 species
CACGUAGGCGGAUAUUUAAGUCAGGGGUGAAAUCCCUGAGCUUAACUUAGGAAUUGCAUUCGAUACUGGGAAGCUAGAGUAUGGGAGAGGAUGGUAGAAUUCCAGGUGUAGCGGUGAAAUGCGUAGAGAUCUGGAGGAAUACCGAUGGCGAAGGCAGCCAUCUGGCCUAAUACUGACGCUGAGGUACGAAAGCAUGGGGAGCAAACA